rnacentral:rRNA from 1 species
CAGUAGCCACGGUAAUACGGAGGGUGCAAGCGUUAUCCGGAUUCACUGGGUUUAAAGGGUGCGUAGGUGGGCAGGUAAGUCAGUGGUGAAAUCUCCGGGCUUAACCCGGAAACUGCCGUUGAUACUAUCUGUCUUGAAUAUAGUGGAGGUGAGCGGAAUAUGUCAUGUAGCGGUGAAGUGCUUAGAUAUGACAUGGAACACCAAUUGCGAAGGCAGCUCGCUACACUAUCAUUGACACUGAGGCACGAAAGCGUGGGGAUCAAACAGGAUUAGAUACCCAGUAGUCCCUGUCUCUUAUACA